GCGGUACGAGAUGGGCAUGCGUCCUAUUAGCUAGUAGGUGUGGUAACGGCACACCUAGGCGACGAUAGGUAGGGGCCCUGAGAGGGGGAUCCCCCACACUGGUACUGAGACACGGACCAG
rnacentral:rRNA from 1 species